CUUCCUCCUUCCUCCACUAAGGUUAGACAACCUUAAUGGAGUCUUGACUUGAUCACAAGAAGACAAGGGCAUAAAAGGUUUCAUCAUGCUCUCCUCACCUAGAGAUUACCUCCCACCUUGUCAAAUUCCAGUGACUCCACCAAAUCUUAUACCACCUGACUGCAUAGUACUUGGAAGAUGGAGAAAGCAACACUACAGGUGAAAUAGAGGCAGAGUAGGAGAGUGAAAGCAGGAACUGAUUCAGGCAAACAUGAGUUUAAGUACUGCCUUCAAGACAUAAUCUCUGUAUGAACACAAGGAAGACACUCUAUGGCUGUUUGUGGGCACUAGAACAUCAUGAACAUCAACUCUGGAAUGAACAAGAAACCUGAUAAUGUCCAUAUGGAAUUAAGAUGAGAAUAUAAGGGUUAAACACUGAGAAACAAAGUUUUCAAAUUUCAUCGCUUCAUUCCUCUUUACAGUCUCAAUUAGGCUCUCUUCAUUUGCUCUAAUCAAACCCACAAUGCAUCAUUAGACUAUCACCUUUAGGUUGGUUUUAUUCAAGUUGUACUGACUUCCUUGCCAACAUUUUAUUUCCCUAAAAAUGUCAGCAGAAAAGCUUAUGUUUGCCUGUCAACAUUCUGUCCUAUGGCAUAAGGUUCCAUGUUUUCAUCUAUGCACCACAAUGCCCAUUUCUUUCCCUUUAGAUUCAAAUGUUAAUCAAGCCCCUAACAGAGGCAUCCUGAAAAAAAUGCUAAAAUAAUUCAUGCUUCACUUUGCUCUACUAGGUUUUUAUUCCUCUUUUGAUCAAAAUAUAAAUAAUAACAAUCAUUUUAUAAGUUCAAAUACAUGUGAUUUUUUAACCUCAGAAAUAUAAACAAAAAUGCUGUCUCAAGACAAUUAUUUACAAUAAAUUUGUUGGCACAGGUUUGAUAUUAAAAUCACCAUUUCCCAUUUAUCUUCUUCCUAAUAUUAUAUUUGGACAUAUAAAGAUGCCAAAAAACAAAUGGCCAUUUACAAAUAUAAAGUAAGGCAUUAAUCCUGGUGAUGAAAAUAAACCUUGAAGUCUACAAUAGAUUGCUGAU